UACUUACUCCCUCCGUCCGGAAAUACUUGUCAUCAAAAUGGAUAAAAGGGGACGUAUCUAGACAUAUUUUUGUUCUAGAUACAUCUGUUUUUAAUCAUUUUGAUGACAAGUAUUUUCGAGGACGGAGGGAGUAUAAC
rfam:Triticum aestivum genome assembly, contig: Triticum_aestivum_CS42_TGACv1_scaffold_624344_7DS